AAAAAAAAAAAAGGACGAUGGGAGCUGAAGUAGCAGGGAAGAGCCUUACUAUGCUGGCUGGUAGAUAUUCUGGCCCCUCUACUUAAGAGGCACACAGUAACUUCUUAAAUAUUUGAUGAUGAUGAUGAUAGAAAAAAAGUCUUAAAAAUAAAAUUAAGUGAAGUAGGACGAAAUGGUGUGUCUUAGACCCCAUUCCACAUCUCUUAAUCAUGAGAUAAACUGGAUCUCACUGAACGCAGCAUUGUAAUGACACUGGAUUCAUGGUAUGGAUCUCAAAGCAGUAUCCUAGCCACUUCUUUUUUGAACAAUUUUGGUCAUUUGGAUCCUUCCCUUUAAGAUGUUCUUUUCCAUCCAUUCUCUUGCCCGAUGGUACUUACCUGACGACUAAGUGUCGAGUUGGGAGAUGGUAAUUAGAUGUCACAUCCUAUUCUCCUGGUUUAAUUUGACCUUUUCUUGAUGAAGUGUUUUCUCCCCUCGGGUACUGGCAUUUGAGGCCACCUAAGCAAGCUAUUCUGGGAUGUUCGCUGUAGCAGAACUUCUCAUAUAAAGGGCUUCAGUGUGAAAAGUCAGUCAUUUCAUUUUUUUAAGUUAACAUUUCUGCUGAUUAAACAGAUUCUGCCCAACCUUUAGACAAAGGCAUAGAGCGUAAGUGUAUAUUACAUGACAAAUGAUAAGUGCUUCCAGAGAAGGUAAAUAUAAUUUAGGUUCUAGAUCACUCCCUUGUCUAACUUUUCAUUACUUCACUGACAACGGUAGUGAUCUUCUUGCUGAUGAGAUUUUUGCUCUUUCCUCAAGCGGAGAUUUAUACAGACUUGAGAUAUAUAUUUUGGAGGAACAUUUGUUUUGUGGUAGGAAAAGUGAAUUAUCUCUCAAGUUUUCUCGUUGCAUUUUUCAUUGAAGAUUCGUCCUCAUUUCAUUGUCCUCGGAGAAUUGUGGAUGCUGUGGUUUGUAUUUUUUUCAAAGCGGAUUUUGAAGUUGGCAGAACAAUUAUGUUUGCAUUUGUCUUUUAUGCCUAAGAAAUAAUUGACUAUGCUUGUGGGAUAUCCGUAUUUUACACUGACUAAUUUGAUUAUUGAGGAUGCUCGGUUUUUUGGCUUAUGGGUUUUUUUGUUGUUGCUGUCGUCUUGCUUUUGUUUUGUUUUGAGAGAAGGAGGUCAGCAGGGCACGAAAAGCCACUUCUCUGAGAUUAUUAGAAUUUAGAGCAGGGGCAUCUGUGUGGCUCAGUCGGUUAAGCAUCUGCCUUUGGCUCAGGUCAUGAUCCCAGGGUGUUGGGAUCGAUCCCCACAUCAGGCUCCCUGCUCAGAGGGAGGCCUGCUUCUCUUUCUCCCACUCCCCCUGCUUGUGUUCUCUCUCUCUCUGUCUCUCUCUCUCUCUCUCCCAAAUAAAUAAAUAAAAUCUUAAAAGAAAAAGAAAAGAAUUUAGAGUAAACAGUUUCUUUCAGAAAGAUCUGUACAUAUCCCUUUCUAGAAAUUACAAUCUGUAGGCUUGCAGGAGAAAGAGGUCCAAGCAGGAAAAAGAGGCAGAUUAAUUUCUGAGGAAGAAUAUGUGUUUGGAUGCCUCACAAAUUUAUGAUUUAGGGUAAUUUGGUACCACCAUAAUCAAAAUGUUACCAUGUAUUUUUCUACACAGUAAUAUCCAUUUUAGCUCAGCCAGAUUUCCAGAUGUUUGCUGAUUCUGCAGCAUCUAGAGUCACUCAUUCUAAAUACUUAGUGAGACCUGGGGAGGAGCAAGACACUUGGGCUCUGGGCAAGGGACACUUCUGUAUUAAAUCUUAGUUGGUCCUAGUUCAGAUCUUGUAAGGAGAGUUAGGCACAGCUCACAGGGCGUUCAUUACAUCAUUCAAAUAUCCAGCAUACAUUUGCGAUUCCUGAAUAAGUGAACUCAAAAUAAACUUACUGUGAUGCAACCUCUCUGUACAGCAAUUACAUCCCUUUCACGGUUGUGGUACCUUCUAUCUUGAUAGUACCUUUGUACAUAAGAGGAGCUCAAUAAAUAUUUGUUGAUGGCAGACUGGGUGUAGGUAGACACUGGCCUGAACUUGACUGUCCCAUCAUGGGGCUCCUUAUCAUUUUCUUCUUAUGAACUCUCAGUAGAUACCAAAGAAAUGGAUCCAAACUCCCCCCCAAAUCUAUGUUUACAGCUUUGGCCAGACUGACUCUUACUCUUUAAGUGUGUAAGCACAAAACAGUUAAACAGUAGAAUCUGGGGAGACAGGAAGCGGAUGAUGUUAACCGUAGCUGCCGCUACAGAAGGGGGAUGGGCGUGUUGGCCUUUACUGUGCAAGAUAGGAAACAGCCAGAGAGAAUAAGGAAGGGUAUGGACUUGGAUCAAGUGUGAACUCUUGUUCACCAGCUGCUUGCAUGAACCAGACUGGGGUCUCAUAGCGGUCCUGCGCCAUCGACAUUUCAAGUAGCUGCGGGCCCGCUGAUUCUGCCUCCUCUCAACCGCAGUGUGCUCCUGGCUCCUCAUGGCCCCAUUUCUACUUCAAGUCUCCUUCUGCUGCACAUUCUGUACAACCUCUCACUGCAAACAUCCACGGUUCUCAAUUCUAACUCCCAAGAGAUAUUAGAUCUACUGCUGGACCCAGUGCCACCCUGUUUGGAAAGGCCGUUCCUGUCAGAAUAUCUCGUGGGUUGUUACCAACCUAUCGAUUUUGACUGUCCCUGUGUUAGGGAUCCCGCUGGGUAGAGUCACUUCAGGAGAGCUCAAGAACACCUUGCUCCUUCAGAAGUGCCGACGGACCUAUGGGCUGGGGACUGAAAUUUGGCAGUGACAGAGAAGAGUCAAAACUGAUCUCCCAUCAAUAACAGGUCAGCCGUGGAAGGGGGAGACCCUGAAAAUGCAGUGACAUAAGAUGGUAGCCGAGCAGGACUACCUGGGGGGCUGGAGGAGGCACUAGAAGAGAAGAAAAGACAUCCAGUUGGGAGCUGAAAGUUCCUGGAAAAUGAGCUGCAGACCAGGAGUCAUCAAUAAGACAUCCACAGGGAACAGCCGGCUUCUCACAAAGGAACCACCAGGGACCUCCAGGAACACUUCUCUUCCUUCUGCUUGCGAAUUUCAGGAAAAUGUGUACAAUCUCACUGACAGCAGAGAUCCUCUUUAGUUGCUUGAUAUGGAAUCUGAGAAUAUGACAUUCCUUGUGUAUUUGCCUCUCUUAAACUUAUUUUUUGAAAUUGUUAUUUUUUCAAAUAAUUGACAUACAACAUUGUGUUCAUUUCAGGUAUCAACCAUGAUUAGGUAUUUAUAUAUAUUACAAAAUGAUCUCUACAAUAAGUCUAGUUCAAAAUCCAUUGCCAUACAUAGUUACAAUUUUUUUCUCUUGUGCUGAGGAUUUUUGUUUAUUAAAUAUGCAAUACAGUAUUAUUAACUAUAGUCACCAAACUACAUUAUCUCUCCAUGACUUAUUGAUCUUAUAACUGGAAGUUGGUGUGCCUCUUGAUCCUUUUAACCCGGUUUGCCCAACACCCACCCCUCACCACUGGCAACCUCUAAUCUGUACUCUGUUCCUAUGAGCUGGGUUUAUUGUUGUUGUUUUUAGAUUCCGUGUAUAAGUGAGAUCAUACGGUGUCUGUAUUUUUCUGUCUGACUUAUUUCACUUGCAUAAUGCCCUCAAGGUCCAUUCAUGUUGUCACAAAUGGCAAGAUUUCUUUUUUUGUUUAUAGCUGACUAGUAUUCCACUGUAUGUCCGUACCACAACUUGUUUAUCCAUUCAUCCCUCUACGGACACUUAGGCUAUCUCCAUAUCCUGCCUAUUGUAAAUGAUAUUACAGUGAGCAUGGGUAUGCAUGUACCUUUUCAAGUUAGAGUUUUUGUUUUCCUGGGAUAUAUACCCAGAUGUGGAAUUGCUGAAUUAUGUAGUAAUUAUGUUUUUCAUUAUUUGAGGAAACACCAUACUGUUUUCCAUAGUGGCUGCGCCAGUCUGCCUUCCUACCAACAGUGCACAGGGUUCCCUUUUCUCCACAUGCUCACCAACACUUAUUUCUUUUAUUUUUGAUACUGGCCAUUCCAACGGGUAUGAGGCAAUAUCCCAUUCUGGUUUAGAUUUGAUGAGUGACGUUGAGUAUCUUUUCAUGUGUCUGUUGGCCAUCUGUUUUGUCUUCUUUAGAAAAACAUCUAUUCAGAUUCUGUGUCUAUUUUCAGCUGGAUUGUUUGGUUCGGUUUUGGUUUUGGUUUCUGCAGCUGGUUGUGUGAGUUCUUUAUGUAUUUGGAAUAUUAAUUACUUACCAGAUAUAUGAUUUGUUAAGUUUUUCUCCCAUUCAGUAGGUUGCCUUUUCAUUUUGUUGAUUGCUUCCUUUGCUGUGCAGAAGCUUUUUUUUUUAAAGAUUUUAUUUAUUUGUUUGACAGAGAAAGAGAUAGGAAGAGAGGGAACACAAGCAGGGGGAGUGGGAGAGGGAGAAGCAGGCUCCCCGUUGAGCCAGGAACCGGAUGCGGGCUCAAUCACAGGACCCUGGAGUCAUGACCUGAGCUGAAAGCAGAUGCUUAACAACUGAGCUACCCAGGCAUCCCUGUGCAGAAGCUUUUUAGUUUGAUUUUUCUCUUUUGUUGCCCUUGCUUUUGGAGUCAGAUCCAAAAAAUCAUCAGCAACACUGAGGUCAAAGAGCUUUGUUUCUAGGUUUUCUUCUAGGAGUUUCAUUGUUUUAUGUCUUACAUUCAAAUCUUUAAUGCAUUUUGAGUUAAUUUUUUAUGUGUGGUGUAAAAAACAGUCUAGUUUCGUUCUUUUGCAUGUGGUUGUUCGGUUUUCCCAACACCGUUUAUCUAAUGGAGAGACUGUCCUUUUCCCACCAUAUAUUCUUGGCUUCUUUGUCAUGAAUUAAUUGACCAUAUACACAUGGGUUUAUUUCUGGGCACUGUUCUAUUCAUUGAUCUAUGUAUCUGUUUUAAGGUCAAUCUGAUAUUGUUUAGGUUAUUAUAGUUUUAUAAUAUAGUUUGAAAUCAGAAAAUAUGAAACCUCUAGUUUUGUUCUUCUUUCUCAAGAUUGCUUUGGCUAUUUGGGGUCUUCUCUAGUUCCAUGCCAAUUUUAGGAAUAUUUGUUCUAUUUCUGUGAAAAAAGCCAUUGGAAUUUUGAUAGGGAUUAUAUGGAAUCUGCAGAUGGCUUUGGGUAAUAUAGACAUUUUAACAAUACUAAUUCUUCCAAUCCAUGAGCAUGGAAUAUCUUUCCAUUUAUUUGUGUCACCUCGUUUCUUUCAUUAAUGUCUUAUGCUUUUCAGUUUAUAAGUUUUUUUACUUUCUUCAUAAGUUUUUUCCUAGUUAUUUUAUUCUUUUUGGUGCAUUUGUAAACAGGAUUUUUUUAAAAAAAUUAUUUCUCUGCUAGUUACUAUUAUGUAUAAAUACAACAGAUUUUUGUGUAUUGAUUUUAUAUCCUGUAACUUACUGAAUUCAUUUAUUAGUUCUAACAAGUUUUUGGUGGGGUCAUUGGAAAGCUCUGUAUCAUUUGCAAAAGAGUUUAUCUCUUCCUUUCCAAUUUGGAUGCUUUUAAUUUCUUUUUCUUGCUUAAUUAUUUGGGAGAAAUUAUCUUAUUAUAUGACUAACACAAAUACACAAAUGUAUUCUCACUAUGAAAAAUUCAAACAGGGGUGCCUGGAUGGCUCAGUCAGCUAAGCAAUGGUCUUCAGCUUAGGUCAUGAUCUUAGGGUCCUGGGAUCGAGCCCCACAUGGGGCUUCCUGCUCAUCAGGGAGCCUGCCUCUCCCUCUGCCUGCUGCUCCCCUUGCUUAUGGACACACUCGGUCUCUUUCAAAUAAAUAAAUAAAAUCUUAAAAAAAGAAAAAGAAAAACAAUUCAAACUGUACAGAUAAAGCCAAUGUCUGCCUUGGCUUAGUUUCCCAAAUCCUGCUUCUUACCCAGAGGGCAUUCUGGGUAGCCUUCCUGAUCUGUUUUCAUGCAUACGAAGAGUUCCAUUUGAUUGUUGAAAGCCCUCUGCAGCACUUUGCAAUCUAGAACCACCUAAACCAAACCAAACCAAACCAAAGGAGAUAGGUGAGAUUUCUCACACCUCAGAAAUACCUGCAUCCAAUUUCCACACACAGGUACUGAAGGCCAUGGAAGGCUAAAUAAUUGAGCAGAUAAUUCAAAGUCAAAAAUAUUAUUUGGCUAACGUAUAUAGAGGCGCCUGGCUGAAGUCGCCUCUUAUUCUAGAAGCAUUAGACAAUCUAUGGCUUGGCUCCUGCCUGGUCUGGUGCUGUGAACUGAUAAACAGUAGCUGAACUGAGCCACUAUAGUGGCCAAGGUUAACUGAUGAAAAUGAAAGUUCCUUCAUCAUAAACAACUACAAAAAGUCACACCAGACAAUAACAGGAAAGUGAGGACCUAAACAAAGAAAUGGAAUUUUUAUUUGACAGCCCCCCCCACCCCCCAGUGAUUAUUGUUAUUUCCUUUCUAGCCACAUCAUCUAAACUCUUCAUGGGAAAGUUGAAGCCGGAAUUUAAUCCUGCAUGGAAUCCUCACUGAUUUAUAAUUUAAAAUUUUAUGAAUUUAGGAAAAUUAUCAAAGAAAAUUCUGAAUUUCAAAACUCCCUUUUCAAAAGUGGAGUUUAAUUACAAAGUGUUUGUAGCCGCUGAAACAGUCCAAUUAGGACCAUUCAGCUUUUUAAAUGAUUGGCAAUCAGGACAUCAAUUAGCAGUAUUUAGAGAUGAACAUCUGCUAACACCUAUUUGCUUAAUCCAAAACCAUUCAAGAACCGAGGCACUUGGCUUGUAAACCACAGGAAGGCAAGGAUUUUAUGUUUCUAUUCCAACAUCCUUCCCCUGCCUCCCCGACAGCAUACACAUACACAUACGGGGCACUUACCAUACCCCACACACGAGCUUGCAGUAAAUGCAUAUUGACUGUCAAAAACAUAACAUUGACAAGGCCCUGGAGAUACAGGAAUGAACAAGGCAGACAAAAUACUCGCUUUCCUAGUACUAAUAUUGGAGUGGCCCGUGGCGACAGAAAAUAACCUUAAAAUUAAAAUCAUUUCAGAGAGUGAUCAAGGAAUGAAGAGAAAAAACCAAGGCAAAGGGAGAGGAUGAUUUGAACCGGGUAUAAUAUUUUAGUUGGAGUGGCCUGGGAGGUCCUCUUUUAGGGGCCCAUUUAGGUUGAGAUAUGGAUGAUGGGAAAGAACCAGCCAGGCUAAGUAAGAUCUAUAGUACAAUUGGAGAAAACAAACAAAUCCACAAGAAUCAAUGAGCAAAUCACAAAGAGCUACAAUGUAUGGGUGAUGGCCUUGAGGGCUUUAACCAGCUGGGAGGUAAAAGCUCUAUCUGGGUUAGUGGAGGGAAAACUUGUCCUCGAUCCUCUUAGGGUCCCUGACUGGAUCUGAAAAUCAAACUGACAAAGACAGGUAAACAGAAGAAAUGCACGUGAAUUUUAUUUAGUGUAAGUCUUCUACAACGCUGAAGCCUUCAUAAGGACAUGAAGACCUGAAGAAGCAGUUAGACCUGUGCGCUUUUAUGCCAGGUUUGAUGGAGAGUGGACAGUCAUGGGGGAAUAUGACAGGACGAGGAGUAUCUGGUAAGAGGAGUAAACUGGGGAAACCUAGCAAGUCCUGUUUGUUAGGAUUCUUCUUGGUGUCCCUUUGUCUUUAGAGAUAGCAUGCUUCUUUCCCCCAGGGACUGGGUGUAACAAAGGCACGGGGUCUCACAUGAGGACUUUAUGACUUAUUUUGGGGAAGAAGGCUGAGAUGGGAAGGAGGUCACACUGACCUUCCUGCUUCUGCCAUGUUCUCAAAUUCCUUCAGCUUAAAAUAUCCAGUAGGCUAAGGUGCCAUAUUUUGAGGUAGGAGCCCUGAACGCCAUCAGUGGUCUUGGUAUGUCUGUAUCUGAUCUGGGUAGGAUUUAGGGUGAAAAAAGAAGGAAAAGCAGAGGACUUCACAGACAAGGACAGAGGUGAGGCAAUGCAGGGGAGAGAGGCAUGACACGUAAGGAAUCACUCCAUGUUGGGGUCAUGCAAGGGCUUGGCCAGUAUCUGAGAGUGGCCUCCUUAAACUGUGUGUACUUCUUGUCUUUCCUGCCUCCUCCUCAACAGCUAAGGAGACCCUCCUGGCUGAGAAGGAAAACUGCAGGCCUGGUGCCAUCUCUGGUGUUGCUCUGAGAGGGCUUGGCACCACUAGCUAAGUCUUGGCGUUCUUCUGUAUUGAAGGAAAAUAAUUUCAGGGAAUCUCAGCAUCAGACAAGGCCACUCUGUGAUCAUGAUGGAUCAAGAUAAAAACAAGACCACUUCAUAAUCAUGUCUGAACACAGACAAGACUUGAACCUUGUCCAAGUCAUUAUACCAAACAUCUCUCCCAGCUAAUAUGGCAGAUGGCUGCUUCUUUAUCAAUUACACCCCUAGUCUCCCUGCAAUCUGCCCUCCCCCUACCUAACAUUUAUAAUGAUACCAACCAGAGAAUGAGCCAGCCUCCUGAAUAGCACCCGAUCUAGAGCAAGCCCUACUCCCUUGAACAAUCCCCCAAACCAGCAAGCACAAGCCUACAUCCUGUAGGUCUUUUCUAACACUCCCACACUCAAACAUCCACUGGUUAUGCUGGGGUGUUCCUGGUGGUCUUUCCUGGAAGGCAGUGACAUAAGGGAGAAGAUGUCCCACUGGGGUGUGAAGGGGAGCAAUGUUAGGUGGUGGUAGGACCUGGUCAGUUCAUGAGAUUGAGGAUGUAGGAGGGCUCAGUCUUAGAACCGAGAGGCCAUGGGAUGGGAAACUUACUGUUGGCCCUUUAGGAACUGAGACUGGUCCAAAUGGAAAUUGUGGUACUGGAAAGUUGAUGUGGCCACGUACACAGUUCAUAUGGGUGUCAGGUGGGUGGCCUGGGCUAAGGGGCUAUUUUUCACAGAUAGGAAAACUGAGGUAGCAGCUAAAUGACUUCUCAAAAUUUGCAUAUGGACUGAAACAGGGCUUCUGAGUCUCUUGCUUUUAAUGUCAGCACUAGCUCCACCUGGCCCCAUCCCACUCCUACCCUUACCACAUGUAAUAUUACUAAAAAAAUGAAACUAUUUCUUGGUUUUUCAAAAAGGUCAUUUAAUAUGGAAAUGCCUAUGAGAAAUUUAAUAAAUAAAACAGUUCACACUGUACCUGUGAACUUAAUUGUAUCAUUCAUUAAGCCCACAGAGAAGGGAGCAUCUCAGCUAACUGCUUGGUGCUUGGUCUUGUCUUCCCAGAAACACAAACUUCUCUGUCUCUUGCAAUUCUCCAGAGCUCAUAGCCAUGAUGUGGCUCCACUGACAAAGCUCCAGGGCUUCAUUUGAACCCUCACGCUGCCUUUCAGUCAGUGCCCUCCUCCAGAGGCCAUGUUGACACCCUGAGAGGUCUAAAAGAAGGCGAAGGCUAAGAAAACCUGACACCUGGUAGAAAUGCAUUCCAACGAAUGCAAUUGCUCCAUAGUGGACUUUUCAGCUGGCGUUUCCACAAAGAGGCCUGAUUUCAAAGUAAGACAGAUGUUGCAGGAUUAGGUAACAGAGAAAGUCUUCUCAGUCUUGGAAAGGACAAGACAUGGGCCUAUGUCUCAGGCUCUGAGGAAGAAACUUCUCACUUUCUUUCCCUGUAAGUUUGUGUGGUGCCAUUUCUCCCACCUGCCUUGGGUUAUUUUCAUGGGCAUCUCCUUGACCUUGUCAGAUCCCAGAGGACAGGAUGUGCCACUGAUACGCCUCUGUGUUCUCCACAAUGAGUCUGGUGCCUGUCCCCAAGAAGGUUCUCCAUCGUUGAGUGACAUUGUAUUUGAAAUGCUCUGAAGAUCUCAAAAAUAGUUGGCGCUCUCUGAUGGGAGUUUUGCUAGUUGGAAAAGUGAUGCAGGAUAACUUCUCAGCAGGGUUUGAAUUUUGAGUGCCAGGGAAAGAACAGCCUGAUUGGAAGAGGGGCACAUUUCACUAGGAUACACUCUGUUAUCUUUGUUUUACAUUUAAAUGAAACAUUUAGGGCUACAUAAAAUUUGGAUGACACAUUAAGGGCAAUUUCCUCAGCAUGAUUCAAGUUGCUGAUUAGAGAUCUGAGGCCUCCUGGAGUAUGCUGUUUGUGCUGCUGAUUGGUUAAGAGCUGUUUCCCAGUGUGGGGUGGGCUCAUUUUCCCUUGGAGAACUGAAGAGCAGGGCCUUUCAGGCACAGCCAAAGAGAGCUCUCUCUUCAAAAAGUCUGGUCCCCUGAGCUGAAGCUCUUGAGCUCUCUUCCUAACUACACAGGAAGCAAAGAAAUGUCAGCUGCACUGUGGGGUGAAGAAUUAACCACUCUCUGAAGAGGUCUGACCUUUGCUCCUGGCUGCUAGUAGGUAUUCUCUGGUAUUAUUCUAUUGGGGAGCAGUGGAGGGUCUAACAAUGUGAUUUAGAUGGGGGGAAGGGGUUGGCCACCCUGGAAAGACCAACAUGACUUGGGGUCAAGGCUUUGGGUCUCCCAGUAUCAGUGGCCCGGAGACUGAGGUCAACAACAUGUUAUCAGUCCAUCUUGCCUGUGUAAUGGAGCCCCAAGAAAAACUGAACACUGAGGAUGAGGUGAGCUUCCCUGGUUGACAAGACCCUGUGUGAAUUGUCACAUGUUAAUGUCAUACAACACAUCUCACCUCCCUGGGUGAAAGCCCACAGAAGCUCUGUAUUUGGAACCCUCCUGGACUCUGCUCUGUGUGUCUUUUCCUUAGGCUGACUUUAUCUCUGUCUUUCCUCUCUCUGUAAUAAAGAGUACCUGUGGAUAAACCA